GCCCGGGUGGUGGAAUCGGUAGACACAAGGGAUUUAAAAUCCCUCGCUCACAGAGCGUGACGGUUCAAGUCCGUCCCCGGGCACCA
rnacentral:tRNA from 1 species